UCAAGAACAUGUCCAUUGAAAUCCGCUCCAAUCACCACUUUCUGUCUGCUCAGGGAAGGUCUGAGACAAAAGCCAAUCACUGCCCUUGCAGGGCAUCACCUGAUCUGGGUGAGUGAGGUCCCAGAAAUACUAAGUAUGCUGUGGUUGUUAAAACCCGUAAUGGAACAGGGAUUACGUGUUUUCCAUGUGAUGAUCUCUGUAAUGUAGGCUCCAAUUUCAUGCUGAGUUCAUGUUUUACAAAUCCCAACUUUUGCGUAAGAAAUGGCUUGCACAUUAUUGAGUGUAGGCACAUUUUAUACAUGAGGUUCCAGAAACAAUUAAGUUUUAAUACUUUUUGUUGUUGA
rnacentral:lncRNA from 1 species